UACGUAGGGCGCAAGCGUUGUCCGGAAUUAUUGGGCGUAAAGAGCUCGUAGGUGGCUUGUCACGUCGGGUGUGAAAGCUUGGGGCUUAACUCCAGGUCUGCAUUCGAUACGGGCUGGCUAGAGGUAGGUAGGGGAGAACGGAAUUCCUGGUGUAGCGGUGAAAUGCGCAGAUAUCAGGAGGAACACCGGUGGCGAAGGCGGUUCUCUGGGCCUUACCUGACGCUGAGGAGCGAAAGCGUGGGGAGCGAAAAGG
rnacentral:rRNA from 1 species